rnacentral:rRNA from 1 species
UAGAACGCUGAAAAAGAGCUUGCUCUUAUGGAUGAGUUGCGAACGGGUGAGUAACACGUGGGGAACCUACCUUCUAGCGGGGGAUAACACAUAGAAAUGUGUGCUAAUACCGCAUAAUAGUAUUUGAUGCAUAUCAGAUAUUUGAAAGGCGCAAUUGCGUCACUAGAAGAUGGCCCCGCGGUGCAUUAGCUAGUUGGUGAGGUAAUGGCUCACCAAGGCAAUGAUGCAUAGCCGACCUGAGAGGGUGAUCGGCCACACUGGGACUGAGACACGGCCCAGACUCCUACGGGAGGCAGCAGUAGGGAAUCUUCGGCAAUGGACGCAAGUCUGACCGAGCAACGCCGCGUGAGUGAAGAAGGUUUUCGGAUCGUAAAACUCUGUUGUAAGAGAAGAACGUUGAUGAGAGUGGAAAGUUCAUCAAGUGACGGUAUCUUACCAGAAAGCCACGGCUAACUACGUGCCAGCAGCCGCGGUAAUACGUAGGUGGCAAGCGUUGUCCGGAUUUAUUGGGCGUAAAGCGAGCGCAGGCGGUUGAUUAAGUCUGAUGUGAAAGCCCCCGGCUCAACCGGGGAGGGUCAUUGGAAACUGGUCAACUUGAGUGCAGAAGAGGAGAGUGGAAUUCCAUGUGUAGCGGUGAAAUGCGUAGAUAUAUGGAGGAACACCAGUGGCGAAGGCGGCUCUCUGGUCUGUAACUGACGCUGAGGCUCGAAAGCGUGGGGAGCGAACAGGAUUAGAUACCCUGGUAGUCCACGCCGUAAACGAUGAGUGCUAAGUGUUGGAGGGUUUCCGCCCUUCAGUGCUGCAGCUAACGCAUUAAGCACUCCGCCUG